rnacentral:misc_RNA from 1 species
GAUGAAGAACGCAGCGAAAUGCGAUAAGUAAUGUGAAUUGCAGAAUUCAGUGAAUCAUCGAAUCUUUGAACGCACCUUGCACCCUUUGGACUGCUCCAAAGGGUAUGCUCGUUUGAGUGUCAUUGUACUCUCACACUCUCUGAUCCUUUGGAUUUGGGGAGCAGUGGACUUGGGUGCUUGCUGCUUCCUUGUGGCUCACCUGAAAUGCAUCAGUGCAUCUCUCGAUUGGACAUAGUACGGCGUGAUAAGUGUCUUCGCCGGCACCUCAUAUGAGGGUGGCCGAUCGGGAGCUCUGUGCUUUCAAACCGUCUUCGGACAACGCUGACAACUUGAUCUCAAAUCGAGUAGGACUACCCGCUGAACUUAAGCAUAUCAAUAAGCGGAGGA